GUAUGUAUCUACUUUUUUAUUUAUUAAUGCAGUAUUGUGUUUACUAGUUUUUCAUUUAUUCAGUGUUGGUUUCUCUUAUCAGGCUGUUUUAUAUCCACCUGCUUUAAACAGAACUCAGUAAGAGUCAGUAUUUACUCAAUGCUGAUUACAGUGUAUUUCCAAACAAAACUGACAUACUAGCACGUUGAGUCAUUUAAGGAAAUAGAAAAACAGUUUGAUAUAUAUAUCAGAUUUUAUUUUAUUUUUUUCAGUACACUAUACAGUGAACUAAACCUUUCUGUAGCACAUUAGGCCUCAUGAACAGCAAACGGUAUAUUUUCAGACACUGCAAUAGUCUUUUUGUUUUUAGUUUUUACCCUAUAAAGCGAUUUUCAGAAUUAUGUUAGCACCAUGAGUUUUAAAGUAACGGCCUUAUAAUUAAAAAAUAAACAUAGUUUAUACUUAGGCAGUUUGUGACAAAGAAGCAGGUGACUACAAAACUUCCUGAGGGAGGGCCUGACUUUUAACCUCAACUGUUGGAGUAUACACUUUAAUAUGAAAUUAUUUUGUCUUUGUAUAUACACUUUAAUGUGACAUCUACUUCGUGUGCACACAUUUAACAGAAAUUACAAUUUUUUAACUUUUUUUUCUUUUUUCAUUUACAGUGUGUUGAGCUGUGGCUUGUGUGUUGCUUCGAUUUAAAAUAACUAUAUAUCUAUGAAUUUUUUUGCAGUUUUUCCUCUGUGCACCACCAUAGUGCAGUUUACAUCAAACUGGCUUUCAGCUUUAAUUCACUGGGUUUUACAACAAUUUGGAUUUACCUCUUGACGAAUUACACAGUCCCGACUUUGUCUCAAAAUGUACUGGAUAAUUACCUGACAAGCAGUUUUAUGGCCAGGUGAGGUUUGGUCCUUCCCUAUUCCAUGACAAAUGUAGGAGAUAUCAUAUCUGAAGUUGAUUCAAAGUGAUUUGAAUCAAAGUAAAAUCAUCAUUAGGGUAAAAAAAAUAAACAUAUCAGAGAAAUAACAUAAUCCUUUAGGACAAAUCUAAAUCAAAUCUGGUACAAACCUACAAAGAAGGAAUGCAGUGGCGAGCUCAGCAACACCAAAAGGCCUGAGAGACCA
ensembl:lncRNA